rnacentral:piRNA from 1 species
UACAUGAUGAAAAUGAUAGGUGACCU